UGGGGAAUCUUGCGCAAUGGGCGAAAGCCUGACGCAGCAACGCCGCGUGCGGGAUGAAGGCCUUCGUGGUUGUAAACCGCUUUCAGCAGGGACGAAAAUGACGGUACCUGCAGAAGAAGCCCCGGCUAACUACGUGCCAGCAGCCGCGGUAAUACGUAGGGGGCAAGCGUUGUCCGGAAUCAUUGGGCGUAAAGAGCUCGUAGGCGGUUCAGUAAGUCAGGUGUGAAAGCUCCGAGCUCAACUCGGAGAGGCCACCUGAUACUGCUGUGACUAGAAUCCAGUAGGGGAGUGUGGAACUCCUGGUGUAGCGGUGAAAUGCGCAGAUAUCAGGAAGAACACCAGCGGCGAAGGCGGCACUCUGGGCUGGAAUUGACGCUGAGGAGCGAAAGUGUGGGUAGCAAACAGG
rnacentral:rRNA from 1 species